AGAGCGAACGCUGGCGGCAGGCUUAACACAUGCAAGUCGAGCGGGCGUAGCAAUACGUCAGCGGCAGACGGGUGAGUAACGCGUGGGAACAUACCUUUUGGUUCGGAACAACACAGGGAAACUUGUGCUAAUACCGGAUAAGCCCUUACGGGGAAAGAUUUAUCGCCGAAAGAUUGGCCCGCGUCUGAUUAGCUAGUUGGUGAGGUAACGGCUCACCGAGGCGACGAUCAGUAGCUGGUCUGAGAGGAUGAUCAGCCACAUUGGGACUGAGACACGGCCCAAACUCCUACGGGAGGCAGCAGUGGGAAUAUUGGACAAUGGGCGCAAGCCUGAUCCAGCCAUGCCGCGUGAGUGAUGAAGGCCCUAGGGUUGUAAAGCUCUUUUGUGCGGGAAGAUAAUGACGGUACCGCAAGAAUAAAGCCCCGGCUAACUUCGCGCCAGCAGCCGC
rnacentral:rRNA from 1 species